rnacentral:lncRNA from 1 species
UUCAACUGUUCUAGAAUGAAUUCUUCAAUUACCUCCAUUGAUUCCUUAUCAGUCACAACUGAGUAUUUGGCCAUAGAUGAAAAGCUAGAAGCAGAGAAGCUCAAAAAAUCUAGUAACAGCUGCAAAAUUAAGUUUAACAAGAUAAACAAAACUUUUAAGAUAAUAAGAGAUAUUAGAACAGUUUCAGAAUUGAAGAAAAUAUAAGCAUUUCAUAUUAAAAGACCAACUAAAUUUUCUCAACAUUCAACACUGAAGGCAAAACUCUUACAUUUUUCCACUGAAAGUUAAUGAUAUUUGUAAUGGAAAGAAUUAGUUAACUCUCAUGGAUCAGAUAAAUAGACUCAAGAAGUGUAAGUCAAGUAGCUUAGCAUGAAAUGCAUGUCAAAUAGGAGUAACCUUAGGUGCCUCAAUGCACUUUCCAAUGCAUCAUUAUGAUAUUAACACUCUAGCUUUCUAUCAAGGAAACAAAUAGAAGAGUCACCUUGAUUGGGGCUUGAAACUAUUAGGCCAUUAAAUUCAGGCAUUUGAUAACUAGCUAAUUAAAUGCCUAAGUUCAUUUUAUAAUUACAAAGUAGAACCUAUGACUAACUUCAUGCUGGGCAGUGUUUACCUCAAAUCAUAAAUUACAAAGCCUGCCUUCAACAUGAAAUGAGAAAAAUAUAGCAUGAUGGAUAUGAGUUCAGGAAGUCAGCAACAAUCAUAAGAAUCUAUGACACUGCCAUACAAGGAUCAUUUCAAGACUAACAAAAUUUGACAAUAUAUAAUUAUUUAUCCAAAUAAAGGAAAGGAAAACAAAUGACAGCAUUCAUAGUAGAAAAUUUUGCAAAGACAAACCCUUUUUUUUAUAAAGGAAAGCUUUCCAGACAACUAACAACUUCUCCUCACAAGCGAUUGAUGCUUGAAACUAUCAAAUAUCAUGUACCUGGUAAAUGAGGCUGCACUGUUCUUGUUUUAGAGAUUCCUCAGUUGACAUAACAGUCAUUUUAAGAUACUUUCCACACCAUAUGCUUGCCUAGAGGGCUCAUACGUUAAAUUACUUAAGAAACUGCCAUUGAAUUUGAGUUGCAUUCAAGCAAGCACGGGGAGAAUUCUAUCUUAAAGUAAAUUGAAAUACACAUACCUUUGAUCCAAGUAAAAGAAACUGUAAUAAACAUUCGAAAAUAUCUAAAUCAAGAUAUUUUGCAGCCACAUGCAAAAUAGUCUUGUUCAAUAGACACUGCGACACAUCCAAGCAAGUAUAAUCUUCCCAGAAUGUCCAUUCUCUUGUUAAGGAAAUAACAAUAACAUGACAAAAGAAGGAGAAAACCAAAUCUAAUUCAAAAGAGAACUCCACAUAAACCGACCUAAUCUUUCAAUCCUUCCCAUAAUUUCUCAUCUUUAGAGUAAAUAUUUAUGGAAAAGUUUACAUACUUGAGAAAUAGAAAAAAAAUUAUGCACCCAAAAAAUUGAAAAAAACAUUAUAAGAAAAUAGCAAUAAAGUGGAUACAAUUAGGGAUUCAGCAAGAGAUUUCACAUCAGAUUGUUCAGAUAAAUGUAAAUCUACUAAUUUGGCAAUCAGUUCCGUCCGACCUUCUACCACCUGCAAUGUACAAUAAUUUUCUUUUCCAUUUCAGAUUUCUCAAGAACCAAAAAAACCAUUACCAUUUCCAUAACUUCAAACCCUAAACUAUUACCAUAGAUAACUUCUUGAAUCGCUAAAGAAUAUCCAAAAAAUAUGGAAAUGUAAUGAAAUGGAAAGUAAAUUUUCAACAACAAUAAUAAUAAAAGCUUACCUCUGAAAUUUUUAUGGCUUAUAUGAGCUUCUGCAACUCGCUGCUCGAACUUGAGUUCUCCAUCGCUAGUCUUUUUUUUUUCUUUUUCAAAUUGCAGGUUUUGAGGACUAUGUCUAUUUAUAUUAUCAAUUUUUCCCUCUUUUUAUUUUUGCGUGUUGCCAUGCCUAUUUCCAGUUUUCCCGCCCUUAGUGAGGAAAAUUGUAAUACCCCAAAAAUUACUACAGUAAGAAAGUAGGAUAAUAUCCUUGAUAUAGUAAAAUAAGGAAAUAAAGUGGUAAAAAGGGUAAUAUUGACUUAUGUCAACAUUGGGAAGUAUAUUAUGACAUAUUAAUUAAAGAAAGGAUUAAAUUGUAAAGUGAGAAACGUUUUGUUGCCCAAGAGUAAAUACUCAAAAUUUGAGGGGUUAAAGUGUAAAUACAAAAAAAAUUGAAGGACCAAUAGUGUAAAUAUUUUAAGAGUGGAAUAAUCUAGAAAGUAGGGAAAAUGGAUGAAUUAGGACCAAAUUGAAAAGGUGAAGAAUUUUGAGGGAAUAAAUUGCAAUUUUACCAAAUUAAGUGAUGACUCAAGGAUGAAAUUUCAAAAGAUUAUAAAGGGAAAAAUGGUCAAAUAGAGAGAGAGAAUUCUAGAAGGUAAUGAUGAUGUUUGCGAUAUUUAUAAUUAAUUAAAUAGAUAAAUGUUAUUUAAUUAAUAUUUUAUUAAUAUUUUUAGUAUUAUUUUAUUGUUAAAUGAUUAAUAUAAAAGGGAGGAAAGAUGAUGAAAAAAUUAUCAUCUUUUCCAUUCAACCAACGUGAGAAGAGAGGAAAAGAAAGAAGUUUUCCUUUCUUUACAAUUUGGUCCUCCCACAAAAAAUUCACCAUUUUCACUUAUAAAUCAAAGAAAUUUCCAUAGCCACCAAGAGAGAAAAUUGAUAAGGAGACAAUGGGGAGCUAGAAUAGCAAGUUAGAUUCAUGAAAUAGAAGCUGAAGGAGAGAGAAAAUCAGGUUAAAGAUUGAAAUUAAUAGCACAAGGUAAGAACAUCAAGAUUUCAAUAUAUUUUUAAGUUUGAUAUUAUUGAAAAAGCAUGGAAAUAAUGUUAUAGUAGAGUUUUAUUAUAUAAGGUCUUAAGUUCUUGAUACAUUAGUGAAGAGAAAUAAGUGAAAGUGAUGGGAAAUGUUAUAGAGAAAGGGAAUAAGGGAGUUAUACACCUAGUAAUCAACAUUUUGCACUAAAACAGUUUUGGACAGCAGCAGUAGGUUAACUUUGAAAAAUCACCAUAAAUUGUGGAAAUCGAAUUAGAGUAUGAAUAAAAUAUGGAAUUAAAUAUUAUUAAGUAUAGUUUCUCAUAGAAGAAACGGUGUAAGUAAUGAAAUGGUAAAUCAUGAGAUAUAAUAAAUUUUGUUAGAUAAGGUCAGAAUGAAUUCGGGUUCCCCUAUUUUGAAUUUGGAAAAUCAUGAAAAAUUGAAUACAAAUAAUUAAAGACUUAAAUUUGUAUGUUUAAAAUAUUUAAUGAGUCUAUUUUCAAUAUAAACAAAUGGAAACAUAAUCCAAAUUUUGUACCAAGAGAUAAUUAAUUUUUAGUGAAGAGGGGUCGGAACUGUCAAACAGUGAAAUAGGGGAACCUUUAAAGAAUAAACUGUACUUAUUGACUAAACCAAAAAUUCUGAAAAUAUUAUGGUAAGAAGAUAUGUGAGUCCAGUUUCAUAGGAAUUUAGCGGAUCUUAAUUUUGAGUUCCGUAGCUCAAGAUAUAAAUAAUUUAGUGACUAUGACUCAAGUGGACAACUUUGAAUUAAUAUAUAAAUAAAUGGUGGAAUUAUAGAUAAUGUUACAUAUAAGCAUAUUAUACAUUAAGGAUGUGGAAUGGAGAGGAGGAGAAGGAAAAUAAAUGAUUUCAACUAGCAUGAGUUCUCAUUAAAAAUGGGCAAUUUGCAUGUUUUAGGUUCAAGGACUAAAUUGAAUAAAAAUAAUAUUUUAAGGGUAAAUUGGUAAAGAUGUUAAAAAGUGACCAAAUUGCAUGAAAUGAAUUCUUUUAUUAUUUAAAUUAAUAAAUUGAAUGAAAUAUUAAUUUAUAUCAAGAUUGGGUGAAAAUUCGAGAAAAAUAGAAAAUUACCAAAAUGUCUCUAAAUUUUGGUAUUUUUGCAAUUUAGCCUGGUAAGUUCGUGUAACUUGCAUUAUAUUCUUAGAUGAUUGGAAUAUAUAUAUUGGAUUGAGAAAUUGAUUUGAAUUGUGAACAUGAGAAAUUGUGAAUUGAAUGAAAUGGAAAUGAAGUUUUGAAUUACAUGAGUAAAUAUCAGGUCUCGUAGGCCCUAUUUGUUAUGAAUAUAAUAUUUGGAGGAUAUGUUGUAAAAAAAAAAAUAUAAAAGCACGUUAAUAAUUUAAAAGUUUUAAUUCGGAUGAAAUUUUGUAACUCGGUUUAAUACAUAUGCAAAUGUAUGUCUUCUAGUAAUGCCUUGUACCCUAUUCCGGCAUUGAAUACGGGAAAGGGGUGUUACAAUGUGACAUCGCCAGAUUCGGUCAUAACGUUUAGACCGGGUUUGGGGUGUUAUAUUUAGUGAUAUCUAUGCUAUGAUUUAGUGGGUUCUCGGACUAACAUAGUGUAUGUGAGUUUAACUAUACAUGUCAUUUUAUUACUCGUGAUAAUGUAAUAUAUUCCGACUCUAAUGAAAUUGUUUUGUAAGACAGAGAUGACUUCUAACCGAGUUGUUUCCAAUAAUGCUAAAAAAAUUUUACGUUGAGGUGAUUGAAAUAUUUUUAUGAUGAAACGAAAUUUAGAAGGGUAUGAAUAGAAAAUUCAUGAUAAGUAUGUGUUAACGUAUGAAGUAAGACAACAAUGAGUUGAGAAAUGUAGCAACGUAGAAUAAAAUAAAAGUUUAUAUGGUGAUAUGCUCGUCCGCGUUUGCUUGGCGCGCCUAUGAUGUUAUGUGCUCAACAUAUUUGAUUAAGUAAAUAUGGUAAGUAAAUAUACGCAAAUAGAUGGAAUGUAUGUUUAUGUACACUUGCUUGAAUAAGUGUAAUCAAUAUGUUUAUAUGAUAGAAUCUUAUGUUUAAUUGUUAAAUUAGAAAUAAUAUGAUGUUUGUUUGAUGUCUUUGCUAUUGAACCAUGAAUAUUAUAAUAGUAUGAAAAUUGAAUUGAAAGAUCAAAUUGAGUAGAACACAGGAAUGAGUACUUUCGUUCAGUGAUAUGUGAUGAAUUGAUGGAAAAGACCAUGGUUGGACCGUGCCAACAUGUGAUAUGUGAUUUCCGUGUAAGACCAAAUCUGGGAUAUGGCAUCAACGUGCGAUCUUGUAUAAGACCAUGUUUGGGACAUGGCAUCGACAUUGAAAUAUGAGCUAGUGUAAGACCAUGUCUGGGACAUGGCAUUGGCAUUAUUGAAAUUAUGAGAGGUCCCAUGUAAGACCAUGUCUGGGACAUGGCGUUGGCACCGAGAUGAGAGGUCCCCCGUAAGACCAUGUCUGGGACAUGGCAUGGGCACCGAUAUGAGAACUCCCAUGUAAGACCAUAUUUGGGAUAUGGCAUUGGCAGUACAGGAAACAUUCCAUGUAAGACUGUCUGGGACAUAGCUUUGGCAUGUUAUAUUCAGAUAAGAGACUUGAGUAUCCUUAGUAUUCCAAGUAAUUCAACGGGCUAGUAAAGAAAUUAUGUUACAUGAAAGUUCAAGUAAAAGUAUGAUAAAUAGAUUCAGAUUUAGGUGAGUAUAAGGAUUAAGAAUAUUUCAGUUAUCAGUUGAGAAAAUAAUUUCAAUAAGGAAGGAGUAAGUUAUAAUCAUGAGUUGUUUAAGCAAGCAAGUAAGUAAACAAGUAAGAAAGUAAAUAAAGAAGAAGUUAAAUUUGAUGAGACAAAAUAUUCAGGUAUGAUACCUAAAAGAAUGUAUGUAUUAAUUGGAAGUUUUUUUUAGUGAAUUGAAUAAAGUGAGGUUCGUGAUAACAUAAUUAGUCAGAGAAAUGAUAAUUAAGUGGUAAAGAUGUCUGUGUGUGAAGGUUACAGUUGAAAUGAACAUGAUGAUCUUUUCUGGAUAUUAUGUAUGUUCUUUUAUUCUCAGAUAUAUGUAUGUGUAAUUGUUCGGUUCGGUUAAUGACCGGUUAUUGUUCUGUUUUGCAUGCAUAUUUAGAAAGUGUAUUGUUUUGCUACAAGAAAUAAUGUGCUGAUGACUAAAUUGCAAAACAUGUAAACGUGAUAUGUGAAGUACAUGAUAUGGAUUAUUAGUAAAUUACGGAUGAAUAAUGAAUUUUGAAAUAUAAUACAUGUAUUAAAGGUAGAGAAGAUAUAAAUAUACGGAUUAUUGAUACAAGAAUUAAAUUGUAAAUCAUGUAAAAGCAUUAUGAGAAAAGUGUAAAAGUGAUAUGCAUGCAUGAAAUAACUUGCCCAAGUAGAUGAGAUUAGAACUAUUAGGAUAUUAAGGGAGUUUAGCGUGCUAUCUGAUUAUUAGCACAUUAGUGCUCUCUGAUUAUUAGCAUAUUUAUGUUCUCUGUAUAAUACUUUAGUGCUUUCUGUUUAAUAGUGCAUAAUAAUGCACCUCUGUAUCAGUUCCGUAUAUUCUAAGUAUUCUGUUUAAUCUACUGGGCCUCUGGUAAAAAAGAUAAAUAAUUUUCGUUACAAGGUAAAUAUUUACCUCUGAUUCAUGUUUGAAAUAUUGAAUUAAAAAUAAAUUAUGAAAUGAAAGGAUAAAGAAUGAAUACAAACACUAAGCUAGUAAAUAUGUACAGAAGGGAACUAUAGAAUGAUAGAGAUGACUUUAAGAAAACUAAAUGAAGAAAGGACUUCUGGUUAUGAAGAAAGAGAGAAAAUAAGAACUCGAUUAAGUAAAAAGAAUAAUAUUAUUGAAAAGGAAGUACAAAAUGAUAUAAAAACUAGAAAUGUUAGUGAUAAGAAUGGAUAGAAAAGGAUAAUUGAAAGAAUAUAGAAAUGAUGAAGUUCAUGAUCAAAAUAAAACAAGGAAAUUUCAAGGACGAAAUUUAUUUUAAGGGGGAGAGAAAUGUAAUACCCCGAAAAUUACUACAGUAAGAAAGUAAGAUAAUAUCAUUGAUAUAGUAAAAUAAGGAAAUAAAGUGAUAAAAAGGGUAAUAUUGACUUAUGUCAACAUUAGGAAGUAUAUUAUGACAUAUUAAUUUAAGAAAGGAUUAAAUUGCAAAAGUGAGAAACGUUUUGUUGCCCAAGAGUAAAUACUCAAAAUUUGAGGGGUUAAAGUGUAAAUACAAAAAAUUUGAAGGACCAAUAGUGUAAAUAUUUUAAGAGUGGAAUAAUCUAGAAAGUAGGGAAAAUGGAUGAAUUAGGACCAAAUUGAAAAGGUGAAGAAUUUUGAGGGAAUAAAUUGCAAUUUUACCAAAUUAAGUGAUGACUCAAGGAUGAAAUUUCAAAAGAUUAUAAAGGGAAAAAUGGUCAAAUAGAGAGAGAGAAUUCUAGAAGGUAAUGAUGAUGUUUGCGAUAUUUAUAAUUAAUUAAAUAGAUAAAUGUUAUUUAAUUAAUAUUUUAUUAAUAUUUUUAGUAUUAUUUUAUUGUUAAAUGAUUAAUAUAAAAGGGAGGAAAGAUGAUGAAAAAAUUAUCAUCUUUUCCAUUCAACCAACGUGAGAAGAGAGGAAAAGAAAGAAGUUUUCCUUUCUUUACAAUUUGGUCCUCCCACAAAAAAUUCACCAUUUUCACUUAUAAAUCAAAGAAAUUUCCAUAGCCACCAAGAGAGAAAAUUGAUAAGGAGACAAUGGGGAGCUAGAAUAGCAAGUUAGAUUCAUGAAAUAGAAGCUGAAGGAGAGAGAAAAUCAGGUUAAAGAUUGAAAUUAAUAGCACAAGGUAAGAACAUCAAGAUUUCAAUAUAUUUUUAAGUUUGAUAUUAUUGAAAAAGCAUGGAAAUAAUGUUAUAGUAGAGUUUUAUUAUAUAAGGUCUUAAGUUCUUGAUACAUUAGUGAAGAGAAAUAAGUGAAAGUGAUGGGAAAUGUUAUAGAGAAAGGGAAUAAGGGAGUUAUACACCUAGUAAUCAACAUUUUGCACUAAAACAGUUUUGGACAGCAGCAGUAGGUUAACUUUGAAAAAUCACCAUAAAUUGUGGAAAUCGAAUUAGAGUAUGAAUAAAAUAUGGAAUUAAAUAUUAUUAAGUAUAGUUUCUCAUAGAAGAAACGGUGUAAGUAAUGAAAUGGUAAAUCAUGAGAUAUAAUAAAUUUUGUUAGAUAAGGUCAGAAUGAAUUCGGGUUCCCCUGUUUUGAAUUUGGAAAAUCAUGAAAAAUUGAAUACAAAUAAUUAAAGACUUAAAUUUGUAUGUUUAAAAUAUUUAAUGAGUCUAUUUUCAAUAUAAACAAAUGGAAACAUAAUCCAAAUUUUGUACCAAGAGAUAAUUAAUUUUUAGUGAAGAGGGGUCGGAACUGUCAAACAGUGAAAUAGGGGAACCUUUAAAGAAUAAACUGUACUUAUUGGCUAAACCAAAAAUUCUGAAAAUAUUAUGGUAAGAAGAUAUGUGAGUCCAAUUUCAUAGGAAUUUAGCGGAUCUUAAUUUGGAGUUCCGUAGCUCAAGAUAUAAAUAAUUUAGUGACUAUGACUCAAGUGGACAACUUUGAAUUAAUAUAUAAAUAAAUGGUGGAAUUAUAGAUAAUGUUACAUAUAAGCAUAUUAUACAUUAAGGAUGUGGAAUGGAGAGGAGGAGAAGGAAAAUAAAUGAUUUCAACUAGCAUGAGUUCUCAUUAAAAAUGGGCAAUUUGCAUGUUUUAGGUUCAAGGACUAAAUUGAAUAAAAAUAAUAUUUUAAGGGUAAAUUGGUAAAGACGUUAAAAAGUGACCAAAUUGCAUGAAAUGAAUUCUUUUAUUAUUUAAAUUAAUAAAUUGAAUGAAAUAUUAAUUUAUAUCAAGAUUGGGUGAAAAUUCGAGAAAAAUAGAAAAUUACCAAAAUGUCUCUGAAUUUUGGUAUUUUUGCAAUUUAGCCUGGUAAGUUCGUGUAACUUGCAUUAUAUUCUUAGAUGAUUGAAAUAUAUAUAUUGGAUUGAGAAAUUGAUUUGAAUUGUGAACAUGAGAAAUUGUGAAUUGAAUGAAAUGGAAAUGAAGUUUUGAAUUACAUGAGUAAAUAUCAGGUCUCGUAGGCCCUAUUUGUUAUGAAUAUAAUAUUUGGAGGAUAUGUUGUAAAAAAAUAUAAAAGCACGUUAAUAAUUUAAAAGUUUUAAUUCGGAUGAAAUUUUGUAACUCGGUUUAAUACAUAUGCAAAUGUAUGUCUUCUAGUAAUGCCUCGUACCCUAUUCCGGCAUUGAAUACGGGAAAGGGGUGUUACAAUGUGACAUCGCCAUAUUCGGUCAUAACGUUUAGACCGGGUUUGGGUUGUUACAAAAAUGAAAAUUUAGAUUUCAACCCUCAAAAAUUUUUGAAUUUCCAUUAGUGGUCCAUAGUUUAUGUAUCUUUUAGGUUUUUUUUCAUUUGAAAAUUGAAAUGAACGAAUUAAAGUGACAUAAUAAAGAAACUAUAAUUGGCCCAAAGAAUAGACCACCUAUGUCUGGUCAUUUUAGCUUUGAUCGCAAUAACAAGAAAAGAUGUCAUGUAAUUUGACAAAGCUCAAGGUUAUCUCAAGUAAAUUAGUGGAAUCCGUUUGGUAAACCAGCAAUUAGUGGCCAAAUAAUAGAACUGUCGAAGAAUCUAACUCUCCUCCUGGCCUCCACUUAGAAUUUGUUACUAUCAAAACUUGAAGUGUUAGAAAGGAUUGGAAGUAUCGCUUAUUUUAUUCCUUUUCAAGUUUUACCUAAGCUUAUAGAUUGAGUUCCAAUUCAUUGAUGGGAAAAAAAGGUGAGCUCCACACACCACCAGAAAAUUUCUUUUCUACAUGAAAUAUCUUCUCAACAGCUUGUAUUGCCCUGAACUAGGCACUCAUUAGAGAAUAGACUAUCGUAAUUAGGCUUAUUUAAUGCCUAAACCAAAUUAUGGUUAUUAUGUUAUCUUUAAAUCAUAUAACUUAUACGAUAAAUCAUAUUAUGUUAUCUUUAAAGUACCAUAAUUUGGUACAUAUAGUGUGAUAAAUCAUAAUAUUUGUGAUUAAUGAUCGAAAGGUAAACUUCCACAAAACUCAACAGAUCUGUGGUACUCAAUAAUUUGAUCUAUCUUGAAAUAAAUUAAAUAAUUUAACCCCUAUAGAGAAAAAAAACAGUGUUAACUACUUUCUGUAAUAAACUAUUAAGAUAAGGAGAAAUAUAAUCGCAAUCAAAAUAAAUGGGACAAUUUGAGUCUAAGCUAGUCUGGGCAAUUGAAGUGACACUAAUCAUUUUCAUUGAUAAAAUUUUAUGUUAUCUUGAUUUGUAUGGAGUAUUGGUUAGAACUUGUGUCAAUUACUUAUUUGAUAUGAGUUUAAACAGUGUGACCCUUAUUGCUAUCAUUAAUAUUGUAAAAAAAAAAGUAAAAAUAUAACUACAAUAGUGAUAAAAAAAACAGCUAAAUGCACAAUUGGUUUAACUCUAAAAAUCUAAUAAAAAUAAAAAAAUAUUAAAUAUUCUAAACAUUUAAUAGCUCAAGGGAAAAUUUCUAAAGAGUUUUUAUUAUUAUAAGAAUUCAAAUAUUUAUGAACUAGUUUUUGUACCAGUUCACAGGUUAACCAAAUUUUUAACAGUUUAUGAACAACACAUUUUUGUUUUUGAUUAUUUGGUACGCUCAAAAUAUCAAACAUUUUAUGAACAAAUAAUCAAAAUUGAUAACAGUUCACUACUUAAUAUUAUGCCACAAAAGAUCCUGCAAAUGCAACAUAAUUUCUAAAAAAAAUGAUUCCAAAAUUUGAAUUCACUAAGGGAGAGAACCCUAAUUAUUGGAUUCCUAAAAGAAAUUAACUUAACAAGUUCAGUUCUCACAAAAUGAACUAGCCACAGCGUAUUCAUUCCAGAAACAUUGACAUACUCCCCAAAAUAACAACAAUAAUAAUAAGACUAAAACUUCAAAAUAAACCCAUUUCGAGAAACAGAUAAUUUCAAUAAAAAAAUUUAUACAUAGCAAACCAAAAAAGAUAAAUAUCGAAGAAAAAAAAGACAAACUUUACUAAAUUAAUCGAGAGAUGACCGAAACUGACCUUCAAAUCCUGAAAAUGGAGUCCGUGAAUAGAAACUAGACUCUAAAAAAAAUGGAGUCCGUGAAAAUGACAUUUGACCGGAACGACAACACUCCACAGUGUAUUGAUGGAAGAACGAGCAAGACGACACAAUGGUGAUAGGCGCCGGCGAUAGAGGAAGCGGGUGACAGAGCGGCCGCCGAAGUGGAGAUGGCAACGGCGUUGGAUAGGUGGAGGUGGUACUGAUUUGGGAAUAGAAAGUGAUUUUUUUUAUUAGGAAAUAAGAAACUUAUUUGGGAAUAGAAUAACUUGGGGGAAAUUGGGGAAAAUAAUUUGGGGAACAAUAAAUUGAGGGAAAUUGGGAGAAAAGAAGUUGGGAAAUUGGGUAAAUGAAAUCGGGG